rnacentral:lncRNA from 1 species
GGGAUGAUAAUUGGGGUUAAUCCCGAUCAGCUCGGGUGUGUUGUGACAAGAUUUUGGGCCAUGAUUAUCAAGAUGUGGCAGUUGUUCCUUCUUUGAUUCUUGGCCAGCUGGAUUGUAUCUUACUUGAAAAAGUGCAGGAUUUCAAGGGUUGGUUUUCUUUGAAGGCCUUUGAUACAUUCGGUCGAAGUUGGAGGAGGUGAGGGUAAUCCAAAUUGGAAUCAAAAUCAUGUUUGGAUGGAAUGGGGGUCAGAAGUUGAGGUUUGAUCUCCGCUCCCUAAG